CCAUAGCUCAGUGGUAGAGCGCUUGCUUUGCAUGCAGAAGGUCUUGAGUUUAAUCCCUGGUAUCGUCAGGU